rnacentral:rRNA from 1 species
GAUGAACGCUAGCUACAGGCUUAACACAUGCAAGUCGAGGGGCAGCAUGAACUUAGCUUGCUAAGUUUGAUGGCGACCGGCGCACGGGUGAGUAACACGUAUCCAACCUGCCGAUGACUCGGGGAUAGCCUUUCGAAAGAAAGAUUAAUACCCGAUGGCAUAGUUCUUCCGCAUGGUAGAACUAUUAAAGAAUUUCGGUCAUCGAUGGGGAUGCGUUCCAUUAGGUUGUUGGCGGGGUAACGGCCCACCAAGCCUUCGAUGGAUAGGGGUUCUGAGAGGAAGGUCCCCCACAUUGGAACUGAGACACGGUCCAAACUCCUACGGGAGGCAGCAGUGAGGAAUAUUGGUCAAUGGACGAGAGUCUGAACCAGCCAAGUAGCGUGAAGGAUGACUGCCCUAUGGGUUGUAAACUUCUUUUAUACGGGAAUAAAGUGAGGCACGGGUGCCUUUUUGUAUGUACCGGAUGAAUAAGGAUCGGCUAACUCCGUG